rnacentral:rRNA from 1 species
GCAGCUCAAAUUUGAAAUCUGGGGCCCUCGGCCUCCGAGUUGUAAUUUGGAGAGGCAUCUUCUGGGGGGAGCGCCGGCCCAUGUUCCUUGGAACAGGACGUCACAGAGGGUGAGAAUCCCGUGCGAGGCAGGUGGCCUCCUCCCGUGUGGAGGGCCUUCGACGAGUCGAGUUGUUUGGGAAUGCAGCUCCAAGUGGGUGGUAAAUUUCAUCUAAAGCUAAAUACCGGCGGGAGACCGAUAGCGCACAAGUAGAGUGAUCGAAAGAUGAAAAGCACUUUGAAAAUAGAGUCAAAAAGUACGUGAAAUUGUUGAAAGGGAAGCGCUUGAGACCAGACUCGGGCCCGGGCAAACACCGCGCUCUUCGGGGCCGUGCAAUUGCCUGGGCCUGGGCCAGCAUCAGUUGGUGUGGCGGGACAAAGGGGCAGGCAAUGUGGCUCCCCACGGGGAGUGUUAUUAGGCCUGCCCUCAAUGCCGCCGACGUCGACUGAGGACCGCGCCUCGGCUAGGAUGCUGGCUCAAUGGCCUUCA